UACGUAGGUGGCAAGCGUUGUCCGGAUUUACUGGGUGUAAAGGGCGCGUAGGCGGGACAACAAGUCAGAUGUGAAAUCUGGGGGCUUAACCCCCAAACUGCAUUUGAAACUGUAGUUCUUGAGUAUCGGAGAGGCAGGCGGAAUUCCUAGUGUAGCGGUAAAAUGCGUAGAUAUUAGGAGGAACACCAGUGGCGAAGGCGGCCUGCUGGACGACAACUGACGCUGAGGCGCGAAAGCGUGGGGAGCAAACAGG
rnacentral:rRNA from 1 species